GAUGAAGAACGCAGCGAAAUGCGAUAAGUAAUGUGAAUUGCAGAAUUCAGUGAAUCAUCGAAUCUUUGAACGCACAUUGCGCCCCCUGGUAUUCCGGGGGGCAUGCCUGUCCGAGCGUCAUUACAACCCUCAAGCUCAGCUUGGUGUUGGGCCCCGCCGCCCCGGCGGGCCCUAAAGUCAGUGGCGGUGCCGUCCGGCUCCGAGCGUAGUAAUUCUUCUCGCUCUGGAGGUCCGGUCGUGUGCUCGCCAGCAACCCCCAAUUUUUUUCAGGUUGACCUCGGAUCAGGUAGGGAUACCCGCUGAACUUAAGCAUAUCAAAGCGGAGGA
rnacentral:misc_RNA from 1 species